AGUGAACGCUCGCGGUAGGCCUAACACAUGCAACUCGAACGGCAGCACAGUAAGAGCUUGCUCUUACGGGUGGCGAGUGGAGGACGGGAGAGGAAUACAUCGGAAUCUACUUUUUCGUGGGGGAUAACGUAGGGAAACUUACGCUAAUACCGCAUACGACCUACGGGUGAAAGCAGGGGAUCUUCGGACCUUGCGCGAUUGAAUGAGCCGCGGUCGGAUUGGCUAGUUGGCGGGGUAAAGGCCCACCACGGCGACGAUCCGUAGCUGGUCUGAGAGGACGAUCAGCCACACUGGAACUGAGACACGGUCCAGACUCCUACGGGAGGCAGCAGUGGGGAAUAUUGGACAAUGGGCGCAAGCCUGAUCCAGCCAUACCGCGUGGGUGAAGAAGGCCUUCGGGUUGUAAAGCCCUUUUGUUGGGAAAGAAAAGCAGCAGGUUAAUACCCCGUUGUUCUGACGGUACCCAGAAGAUAAGCACCGGCUAACUUCGUG
rnacentral:rRNA from 1 species